UACAGAGGGGGCAAGCGUUGUUCGGAAUUACUGGGCGUAAAGGGCGCGUAGGCGGCAAUUCAAGUCAGCUGUGAAAUCUCCGGGCUUAACUCGGAACGGUCAGCUGAUACUGCUUUGCUAGAGUGCAGAAGGGGCAAUCGGAAUUCUUGGUGUAGCGGUGAAAUGCGUAGAUAUCAAGAGGAACACCUGAGGUGAAGACGGGUUGCUGGGCUGACACUGACGCUGAGGCGCGAAAGCUAGGGUAGCAAACGGG
rnacentral:rRNA from 1 species